UCAGGUUUAGGUCUUCAGGGCCUAGGGAGCAGGCGGGGCCUGGUCCGUCAGCCGCUGUUGGGCGGCACUGAGAUAUGCAGGAACAUCCUUGUGAGUCUUUGGUGCAUUAGCAAGGAUUUCUAAAGGGCACGUACCUUCAAUUUGGUUUCCUGUCCCAGGGCUUCGAAGAGUUUCAGCUCUGCCAGCAACGAGUCUUCGUUGUGGCGUACAUGAUCUCCCUUGAGACCAGCCGGCUUCUUUUUAGCUGAAGGGAGUGCUCAGUAGUUGCGGUGCUUGGCCUCAAUUGGGCAGCGAAUGUGGGCAGAAUUGAACCCAGGCCCUCGGCAGUGAAAGCACAGAGUCCUAACCACUGUACCACCAGGGAAUUCUGGUUUAAAUACUGA